GAAAGAGACAAAAACUAGAUUGAUUAGAUGGUCUUUGUUGCUGCAAGAAUUUGACUUAGAUUAGGGAUAAGAAAGGGUCAGAAAAUAUAGUACUUGACCAUUUAUUUAGGCUUAGACUAGAGAAUAAGGAUGAAUUAGGAGAAGAGUUACCGAUUGAUGAUAGUUUUCUAGAUGAGCAGCUUUUAGCAAUAGCCAAGUCAAGUUUACCUUGGUAUGCAGAUUUUGUCAACUAUUUGGCUUGUGAUAUUCUCGCACCUGAAUUGAGCUACCAAUGAAGAAAAAGAUUUUUAUUUGAGGUCAG
rnacentral:misc_RNA from 1 species